rnacentral:rRNA from 1 species
UACGAAGGGGGCUAGCGUUGCUCGGAAUCACUGGGCGUAAAGCGCACGUAGGCGGCUUACUAAGUCAGGGGUGAAAUCCUGGAGCUCAACUCCAGAACUGCCUUUGAUACUGGUGAGCUUGAGUCCGGAAGAGGUGAGUGGAACUGCGAGUGUAGAGGUGAAAUUCGUAGAUAUUCGCAAGAACACCAGUGGCGAAGGCGGCUCACUGGGCCGAUACUGACGCUGAGGAGCGAAAGCGUGGGGAGCAAACAGG